ACAAAUCCAUCAUUACUACAUACAAAUAAACAUCCAUAAUUCCAUAAGGCAAAAGGCAAGUUCUAAGGGAUAAACAAGGAAAGAAAGAAAAAAAAUAUUUCCAAGAACAGCCAAUGAGAAAUAAUGUUACAGACCAAAAGCAAACAAGGCAAAGUUAAACCACCCUUCUUAAGACAAACAGCACCAGACAAUUUCUAUUUAUCGAAUCAGCUCACAGAAAAUGGUCGAUGUGUAUCACUUCAUGUCUCUCUUUGUCUAGAUCAAUUUAUUAAUUUGCCAUUGCACUUCUGAUAUCUAGGAAAAUCCAUUGGCUCAAAAGACACCAUCAGCUUCAACUCUGAAAUUAUGCAUGGUUGACUAUACAAGUUGUUUUAACCUCCAAACAUGGAAAAAUUUCUCAAGCCUGCAAGUACGCAUAUAACAUCUCAAGAAUGGAAUGAUAAACAAACUCUGCGAAAAAUAAAAUAAAAUACUACAUGUAAAAAAAAAUAAAAAAAAAAUUAAACUGAACACAAUAACUUACAGCAACAUUUAGUAAUCUAAUUCAUGGAUACAAAGAAAACAUUGACUUGAUUUGCUUUCUCUUAUGAGCUUUAGUAUUAUUAAACUGCAGCAUCCUAUCAAGUGCCUACAAGAAUCGGAAGAUAUUUUCUGAAACCCCAUAUUUUUAGAAUAAAUAAAGAGAAAACAAUAUCAGCAAAAUUGUUAAAACAUUAGUCAAAUUGUUGAGAAUAUAAAAUCUCACAUCCAUUAUUCUAAGCCUUGCAUUGCAGUAUAUAAAAUUAUGAACCUCUUCAUCCAUUAUCACCAUAGUACUAGACUUCAC
rnacentral:lncRNA from 1 species